rnacentral:rRNA from 1 species
CGGACAGCAAUAUGAAGGUCAGGCUGAAGACCUUACCCGAUUAGCUGAGAGGUGGUGCAUGGCCGUCGUCAGUUCGUGCUGUGAAGCAUCCUGUUAAGUCAGGCAACGAGCGAGACCCACGUCCACAGUUGCCAGCAUACCCUCCGGGGUGAUGGGUACACUGUGGAGACCGCCGCUGCUAAAGCGGAGGAAGGAGUGGGCAACGGUAGGUCAGUAUGCCCCGAAUCUCCCGGGCUACACGCGGGCUACAAUGGUUGGUACAAUGGGCAUCUACCCCGAAAGGGGAAGGAAAUCUCUUAAAGCCAAUCGUAGUUCGGAUUGAGGGCUGCAACUCGCCCUCAUGAAGCUGGAAUCCGUAGUAAUCGCGUUUCAACAGAACGCGGUGAAUACGUCCCUGCUCCUU